GCGGGCGUAGCUCAGGGGUAGAGCAUCACCUUGCCAAGGUGGGGGCCGAGGGUUCGAAUCCCUUCGCCCGCUCCA
rnacentral:tRNA from 1 species